GAUGAAUGCUGGCGGCGUGCCUAAUACAUGCAAGUCGAGCGAACAGACGAGGAGCUUGCUCCUCUGACGUUAGCGGCGGACGGGUGAGUAACACGUGGAUAACCUACCUAUAAGACUGGGAUAACUUCGGGAAACCGGAGCUAAUACCGGAUAAUAUAUUGAACCGCAUGGUUCAAUAGUGAAAGACGGUUUUGCUGUCACUUAUAGAUGGAUCCGCGCCGCAUUAGCUAGUUGGUAAGGUAACGGCUUACCAAGGCAACGAUGCGUAGCCGACCUGAGAGGGUGAUCGGUCACACUGGAACUGAGACACGGUCCAGACUCCUACGGGAGGCAGCAGUAGGGAAUCUUCCGCAAUGGGCGAAAGCCUGACGGAGCAACGCCGCGUGAGUGAUGAAGGUCUUCGGAUCGUAAAACUCUGUUAUUAGGGAAGAACAAAUGUGUAAGUAACUAUGCACGUCUUGACGGUACCUAAUCAGAAAGCCACGGCUAACUACGUG
rnacentral:rRNA from 1 species